UGACAUACCACUUGUUGCCUCGGCGGAUCAGCCCGCUCCCGGUAAAACGGGACGGCCCGCCAGAGGACCCCUAAAACUCUGUUUCUAUAUGUAACUUCUGAGUAAAACCAUAAAUAAAUCAAAACUUUCAACAACGGAUCUCUUGGUUCUGGCAUCGAUGAAGAACGCAGCAAAAUGCGAUAAGUAAUGUGAAUUGCAGAAUUCAGUGAAUCAUCGAAUCUUUGAACGCACAUUGCGCCCGCCAGUAUUCUGGCGGGCAUGCCUGUUCGAGCGUCAUUUCAACCCUCAAGCACAGCUUGGUGUUGGGACUCGCGUUAAUUCGCGUUCCUCAAAUUGAUUGGCGGUCACGUCGAGCUUCCAUAGCGUAGUAGUAAAACCCUCGUUACUGGUAAUCGUCGCGGCCACGCCGUUAAACCCCAACUUCUGAAUGUUGACCUCGGAUCAGGUAGGAAUACCCGCUGAACUUAAGCAUAUCAAUAAU
rnacentral:rRNA from 1 species